rnacentral:rRNA from 1 species
CGACGACGCAACGCCGCGUGGAGGAUGAAGGUCUUCGGAUUGUAAACUCCUGUUGCCCGGGACGAAAUGUUCAGACCUAACACGUCUGAGUUUGACGGUACCGGGUGAGGAAGCCCCGGCUAACUCUGUGCCAGCAGCCGCGGUAAUACAGAGGGGGCAAGCGUUGUUCGGAAUUACUGGGCGUAAAGGGCGCGUAGGCGGCCCUCUAAGUCGAACGUGAAAUCCCUGGGCUCAACCCAGGAACUGCGUCCGAGACUGGAGGGCUCGAAUCCGGGAGAGGGAUGUGGAAUUCCAGGUGUAGCGGUGAAAUGCGUAGAUAUCUGGAGGAACAUCGGUGGCGAAGGCGGCAUCCUGGACCGGUAUUGACGCUGAGGCGCGAAAGCCAGGGGAGCAAACGGGAUUAGAUACCCCGGUAGUCCUGGCCCUAAACGAUGAAUGCUUGGUGUGGCGGGUAUCGAUCCCUGCCGUGCCGAAGCUAACGCAUUAAGCAUUCCGCCUGGGGAGUACGGUCGCAAGGCUG